GCCGGGACGCGCUGUCUACGCGGUCCGGCACAUCUGUACGCAGCCGCCCGUUCCGGCACGGGGCGGCACAGAUCAAAAGGA
rnacentral:ncRNA from 1 species